CGUUUACAGGUGCGCAGUGAGCAAUUAAUGCGUAAUCCCAUCUCUGUAUGCGCGUCUGUAAACACAUUCUAAAAUAUUUUAUAUAGCGCCAGGAGACAAGACAGUAGUAUCACAAUGAUAAGCUCUCGCUGGAGCUUCUGAAUAAGUUUUGCUAGCCCAUGCAGAAACGUAAACAAGGAGAGAGGUCUAUUGUGGAAUAGUCUUC